rnacentral:rRNA from 1 species
AUUGAACGCUGGCGGCAGGCCUAACACAUGCAAGUCGAGCGGAUGAAGGGAGCUUGCUCCUGGAUUCAGCGGCGGACGGGUGAGUAAUGCCUAGGAAUCUGCCUGGUAGUGGGGAAUACGGUCGGAAACGGGGCGUAAUACCGCAUUAGGUCUGGGGGGGAAAGGGGGGGGUUUUUGGGCCCUCACGCUUCCAGUUGGGCUAGGUCGGAUUAGCUAGUUGGUGGGGUAAAGGCCUACCAAGGCGACGAUCCGUAACUGGUCUGAGAGGAUGAUCAGUCACACUGGAACUGAGACACGGUCCAGACUCCUACGGGAGGCAGCAGUGGGGAAUAUUGGACAAUGGGCGAAAGCCUGAUCCAGCCAUGCCGCGUGUGUGAAGAAGGUCUUCGGAUUGUAAAGCACUUUAAGUUGGGAGGAAGGGCAGUAAGUUAAUACCUUGCUGUUUUGACGUUACCAACAGAAUAAGCACCGGCUAACUUCGUG